UUAACCUGCCCACUGAUUUUAUUUAAGGGCCGCGGUAUAUUGACUGUGCAAAGGUAGCAUAAUCAUUUGUCUUUUAAUUGAAGGCUGGAAUGAAUGGUUGAAUGAAGUAUAAGCUGUCUCAUUUUAAUAAAUAUAAAAAUUUAGCUUUUAAGUGAAAAGGCUUAAAUAAAUUUAGAGGACGAGAAGACCCUAUAGAUCUUUAUAUUAUAAUUAAAUUAUUAUAUUAAGAUUAAAUAAAAUUUUAAUUUAAUAAAAUAUUUUGUUGGGGUGACUGGAAAAUUUAAUAAACUAUUUUUAUUUUAUACCAUGAAUUAAUGAAUUAUUGAUCCAAUCUUAUUGAUUAAAAAAUUAAGUUACCUUAGGGAUAACAGCGUAAUUUUUUUAGAGAGUUCUUAUCGAUAAAAUAGAUUGCGACCUCGAUGUUAAAUUAAAGA
rnacentral:rRNA from 1 species